rfam:Rhinocladiella mackenziei CBS 650.93 unplaced genomic scaffold supercont1.10, whole genome shotgun sequence.
GACAACAUGGCCGAGUGGUUAAGGCGACAGACUCGAACACACCGAAAUCUGUUGGGUUCGCCCGCACAGGUUCAAAUCCUGUUGUUGUCG